rnacentral:rRNA from 1 species
UACGUAGGGGGCAAGCGUUGUCCGGAAUUAUUGGGCGUAAAGAGCGCGUAGGCGGUCCGAUAAGUCGGCUGUGAAAGUCAGGGGCUCAACCCUUGAAAGCCGGCCGAUACUGUCGGACUAGAGUCCGGAAGAGGCAAGUGGAAUUCCCGGUGUAGCGGUGAAACGCGCAGAUAUCGGGAGGAACACCAAUGGCGAAGGCAGCUUGCUGGGACGGUACUGACGCUGAGGCGCGAAAGCCAGGGGAGCAAACGGG